AGAAAAUCCACCACAGACACAUGGCCUCCCGCAACAGCAAAAUGGAAUGCUGUGCGCUUCAGCUAGAAUAAGCAAAGCUUUGUUUGUCAGUUGGUCUCCUUCAUAGAGAGCCCUGCCAGCAGUAUAUUGAACAUCCCAAGAUUUUUCAUUUUUGGAAGAGCAAGGAAGUAAUUAAAAAUGCAGAAAAGUAAAUUGCUUAGUUGACGUCAAAAGAAAAAGUAAGGAAUACCACAAAUGAGGAUGAUUUCCAAUGAAUUAAGAAAAUGCAGCUGAGGUUUAGUACUUACAGAACAGUGAAGUGUGUAUCCCUACCUCCCUGGUCUGCUUUUAACUUCCUGUUGUGAUGUCAACAAGAUGAAAUCCACAUCUUAAAAAACACAUGGGAAAACAACCCCUGAAUAUGAAUUGGCUGAAGAGGUCUAGGGGAGGUAAAAUUUAAAAAAAAACAACAAUAUUUGGAUUCAAAUGGCACUAAAAGU